GCUAUCUCCCAGCGUCAUACGUCAUACGUCAUAGGAGCGGGACACCCGUCGCAUGGUCAGCGUGGCUACGUCAUAGGAGCGGGACACCCGUCACAUGAUCUAUGUAUACAAUGCUGCGCCUGAAGGCCGGGAAACUCGUUAUCAUCACGGGGAGCCGUCUGCUAGGGGCCAGAAUCGGGUCCUGCGAUUGCCUCUUCGUGUUUGAUUCCAGCAGUCUGGAGAGAAGGCCGCCGGGGGCAGAGUAAGUGAUACAGGGAAUCUGUGCAUUGUGUUACUCUCAUGUAUAAUAAUGAGGACAGAGGCACACGCUAGGCCGGAGCACACGCUAGGCCGGUCUGCCGACGUAUCUGGCAUCUGUAAGUGCAUACACACUGAUCAUCGGUCUGACGUGGGCGAGCCUUUGCAUGUCAGUCACCGGCAGCCUCUGCAGCCAGCGUAUGGGUGGAGAGCAGACUGCCCGCAGCACGACGCACCGAUAUAGCUGCAGAUAUAUCCGCUGUUCUGCAUGGCUGACGCGAUCUGUGGAUGACGUUGUUCUCUGACAUAGCGCUGACACUAAACACAAACAGUAAGGGGAAACGCUAAGUAUGGAAACAUAUACUGUAACAGAGUCCUGUGAUGUCUCAUUAUUAUCUGUGAUGUUCUCCUCAGUGGAUUGUCGUAUAUUAAACGGAAAAAGAAAAAACAAUAAUGUGUAGGAUUGUCCCUAAUAUACAGCUCAUUAC